rnacentral:rRNA from 1 species
CGAUUGCGGCGACGUGGGCGGUUCGCUGCCCGCGACGUUGUGAGAAGUCCACUGAACCUUAUCAUUUAGAGGAAGGAGAAGUCGUAACAAGGUUUCCGUAGGUGAACCUGCGGAAGGAUCAUUG